GCUUAAUGUUGAAAUCAAUUUUACAGGGUAGCAGUUACUUGAGAUGUCCAGCUGAUUGAUGAGGAUAAUUUCCCUGAGACUCUAACAUUUUGUAGGACUUGGAUAGCUCUAUUGCUGUAAAAAUUGUCAGGACGGUGGAGAUUUAGAUAAGUGGUGUGAUGUUACUGAUGGUAAACAGAAGACUGCGACCUUGAAUCUGAAGAUCUGUGAUGAAGACCGGACGUUUGGGGUCACUCUCUGUUACAGUACUACAAAUCUAACAGUGUCUAACUCAGCCACAAAGAGGUUGUCUCUGAUGUCCACACAUAAACCUAAUGGAGACUCUAAAUGACAGUGAAUGUAACGGAGGAACUGUCCGUCCUGAUCUAGGAUGUGGAUACGGUCAUUGACA